rnacentral:lncRNA from 1 species
AGCACAGCUGUUGGAUUGCAUGCUUGAAGCGUCUUCCGGAGGGUUCGAGGUUCUGUUUGUUAUUCUGGUUGGCGUUGGAGAUGCAAUUACUAUGUUUCAGUUAUCCGUAAAAAGCUUUUCCUGAAACGCGUGAAAGCCUAACAAUGUGAAUAUCCGGAAGACAAGUAAAGCUCAUGUAUUUUUUGUGACCCUGGGACAUCGAACGUCAAAGCGACCAUGUGACACGGUGGCCGAGUAUUCCCAGAAAAUGUGUCUAGUCCUCGAGAUCGACGGUAUACAUGCGAAUACUGGAAAGACAACAACAGCUGACCAAGCCGAGGAAAACCACUUUCUGCGAGUGCAAAGAACACUACUGUGACUGCGUAUCUUCUGGAACCUUCCUAGCUCGAUUCAAGAAAUGUUGUCUGCUGUUUCAUAAGUAUUCUGUGUUUGCCAGGGUUGAAAUAGAGAAUGCAAACAUAUUGCUUCUCCUUAGCAGCUUGUUUGUUUCCUCUUCUACGAAAGAGAGCACAAAGUUUACAUUCAGCCGAAACUUUCACGCAUUAGUUACAUGUAAAACGAAUACAUUUGUGUCAAAAGAAACUUCAUUAUUAUUGCCACAGACUCCAUGGUACUUACUGAAACCAAUUAAUUUCAUCAGUCGAUGAGGUGACUCGCUCACCUAUGUGGGAUAUAAUUUCCGUCAAUUAAAGAUCUCUACCUUCAAUACUUCUCCUUGAAAUGCUCCUCAAUGCUAUUACUCGAUAGCAUUGUGUAUUAGUUUGAUGUGGUUCUAUUGUUUACACCAACUUGGCUGGCAACAGAAU